UACGGAGGGGGCUAGCGUUGUUCGGAAUUACUGGGCGUAAAGCGCACGUAGGCGGACGUGUAAGUCAGGGGUGAAAUCCCGAGGCUCAACCUCGGAACUGCCUUUGAUACUGCAAGUCUCGAGUCCGGAAGAGGUGAGUGGAAUUCCUAGUGUAGAGGUGAAAUUCGUAGAUAUUCGGAGGAACACCAGUGGCGAAGGCGGCUCACUGGCUCGAUACUGACGCUGAGGUGCGAAAGCGUGGGGAGCAAACAGG
rnacentral:rRNA from 1 species